GUGAAGCUUGGGUGGUGAUGCGGGUUAAUACAGAGGGGGGUAGUGUUAAACGGAGUUACUGAGCGUAAAGCGCGCGUAGGUGGGUAAUUAAGUCAAAUGGUAAAUCCCCGAGCUUGACUUGGGAGUUGCAUUCGAUACUGGUUGGCUAGAGUAUGGGAGAGGAUGGUAGAAUUCCAGGUGUAGCGGUGAAAUGCGUAGAGAUCUGGAGGAAUACCGAUGGCGAAGGCAGCCAUCUGGCCUAAUACUGACACUGAGGUGCGAAAGCAUGGGGAGCAAACAGGAUUAGAUACCCCGGUAGUC
rnacentral:rRNA from 1 species